rnacentral:rRNA from 1 species
AGUCGAGGGGUAACAGGGAGUGCUUGCACUCUGCUGACGACCGGCGCACGGGUGCGUAACGCGUAUGCAACCUACCUUCUACAGGGGGAUAGUCCAGAGAAAUUUGGCAUAAUACCCCAUACGAUCAUUUAUUGGCAUCGAUAGAUGAGGAAAACUCCGGUGGUAGAAGAUGGGCAUGCGUCCUAUUAGUUAGUUGGUAAGGUAACAGCUUACCAAGACACCGAUAGGUAGGGGUCCUGAGAGGGGGAUCCCCCACACUGGUACUGAGACACGGACCAGACUCCUACGGGAGGCAGCAGUGAGGAAUAUUGGACAAUGGAGGCAACUCUGAUCCAGCCAUGCCGCGUGCAGGAAGACGGCCCUACGGGUUGUAAACUGCUUUUAUACAGGAAGAAACGCCGCUACGUGUAGCGGUUUGACGGUACUGUACGAAUAAGGAUCGGCUAACUCCGUGCCAGCAGCCGCGGUAAUACGGAGGAUCCAAGCGUUAUCCGGAAUCAUUGGGUUUAAAGGGUCCGUAGGCGGUUUUUUAAGUCAGAGGUGAAAUCCUGCAGCUCAACUGUAGUAUUGCCUUUGAUACUGAAAGACUUGAGUUAUUGUGAAGUAGUUAGAAUGUGUAGUGUAGCGGUGAAAUGCAUAGAUAUUACACAGAAUACCGAUUGCGAAGGCAGAUUACUAACAAUAUACUGACGCUGAGGGACGAAAGCGUGGGUAGCGAACAGGAUUAGAUACCCUGGUAGUCCACGCCGUAAACGAUGGAUACUAGCUGUUCGACCAACAUUGGUUGGUUGAGUGGCUAAGCGAAAGUGAUAAGUAUCCCACCUGGGGAGUACGCUCGCAAGAGUGAAACUCAAAGGAAUUGACGGGGGCCCGCACAAGCGGUGGGAGCAUGUGGUUUAAAUUCGAUGAUACGCGAGGAACCUUUACCAGGGCUUAAAUGUAAGUUGCAUAGACCUG